GUGCUUGCUUCAGCAGCACAUAUACUAAAACUGGAAUGAUACAGAGAAAAUUAGCAUGGCCCCUGUGCAAGGAUAACAUGCAAAUUUGUUUAU
ensembl:snRNA U6 U6 spliceosomal RNA